rnacentral:rRNA from 1 species
ACGUACACUCCUGCGGGAGGCAGCAGUGGGGAAUUUUGGACAAUGGGCGAAAGCCUGAUCCAGCCAUGCCGCGUGCAGGAUGAAGGCCUUCGGGUUGUAAACUUCUUUUGUACGGAACGAAACGGCCUUUUCUAAUAAAGAGGGCUAAUGACGGUACCGUAAGAAUAAGCACCGGCUAACUACGUGCCAGCAGCCGCGGUAAUACGUAGGGUGCAAGCGUUAAUCGGAAUUACUGGGCGUAAAGCGUGCGCAGGCGGUUAUGUAAGACAGUUGUGAAAUCCCCGGGCUCAACCUGGGAACUGCAUCUGUGACUGCAUAGCUAGAGUACGGUAGAGGGGGAUGGAAUUCCGCGUGUAGCAGUGAAAUGCGUAGAUAUGCGGAGGAACACCGAUGGCGAAGGCAAUCCCCUGGACCUGUACUGACGCUCAUGCACGAAAGCGUGGGGAGCAAACAGGAUUAGAAACCCUUGUAGUCCC